rnacentral:rRNA from 1 species
GACGAACGCUGGCGGCGUGCCUAAUACAUGCAAGUAGAACGCUGAAGAGAGGAGCUUGCUCUUCUUGGAUGAGUUGCGAACGGGUGAGUAACGCGUAGGUAACCUGCCUGGUAGCGGGGGAUAACUAUUGGAAACGAUAGCUAAUACCGCAUGAUAUUAAUUGUCGCAUGAUAAUUAAUUGAAAGAUGCAAUUGCAUCACUACCAGAUGGACCUGCGUUGUAUUAGCUAGUUGGUGAGGUAACGGCUCACCAAGGCGACGAUACAUAGCCGACCUGAGAGGGUGAUCGGCCACACUGGGACUGAGACACGGCCCAGACUCCUACGGGAGGCAGCAGUAGGGAAUCUUCGGCAAUGGGGGGAACCCUGACCGAGCAACGCCGCGUGAGUGAAGAAGGUUUUCGGAUCGUAAAGCUCUGUUGUAAGAGAAGAACGGGUGUGAGAGU